GAGAGUCGCAAGUACGGAUCUGAGGUUCAUUGUGUCGUCAAAUAUGGAUACAUGGGUCACACCUCCAGGUGUCGGCCGGAUCUGGGCGAUGCUUGUGCGAUCAACGACCGCGGAGAUCACGGAGAGUCGCAAGUACGGAUCUGAGGUUCAUUGUGUCGUCAAAUAUGGAUACAUGGGUCACACCUCCAGGUGUCGGCCGGAUCUGGGCGAUGCUUGUGCGAUCAACGACCGCGGAGAUCACGGUGUCGGCCGGAUCUGGGCGAUGCUUGUGCGAUCAACGACCGCGGAGAUC
rnacentral:lncRNA from 1 species